rnacentral:lncRNA from 1 species
GGCCGACCGAGAUUCUUUUGUUGAAGAUUCAAGAUUGCCCGAAGAGCCGGAUGAUUGAGGCCGAAGGGCCGAGCAAUUGAGGUCGAUGGGCCGAAUAGUUGAGGCCGAUGGGCCGAGCAAGUGAGGCCGAUGGGUUGAAUAGUUGAGGUCGAUGGGCCGAAUAGUUGAGGGCGAAGGGCCGAAAUCUGGAUGCCAGAAUUGGCUAAGUACCUGUGAGGCCGAAUGGCCGAGCAGUGGAGGCCGAAGGGCCGAAAUCUUAAUGCCAGAUUUGGCUAAGUACCUGUGAGG